rnacentral:rRNA from 1 species
UGAGGAAUAUUGGUCAAUGGGCGCAAGCCUGAACCAGCCAAGUCGCGUGAGGGAAGACGGCCCUACGGGUUGUAAACCUCUUUUGCCGGGGAGCAAGCCUGAGCACGUGUGCCCAGGCGGAGAGUACCCGGAGAAAAAGCAUCGGCUAACUCCGUGCCAGCAGCCGCGGUAAUACGGAGGAUGCGAGCGUUAUCCGGAUUUAUUGGGUUUAAAGGGUGCGCAGGCGGGCUGUUAAGCCGGCGGUAAAAAUUCAGGGCUCAACCCUGUCGAGCCGUCGGAACUGGCAGUCUUGAGUGGGCGAGAAGUAUGCGGAAUGCGUGGUGUAGCGGUGAAAUGCAUAGAUAUCACGCAGAACGCCGAUUGCGAAGGCAGCAUACCGGCGCCCGACUGACGCUGAGGCACGAAAGCGUGGGGAUCGAACAGG